AAUCUUAAAGGCUGGAAAGAAAAUAUGUUAUCUGUUGGGGCCAAGGAGACUUUGUUGAAAGUUAGGGCACAGGGAAUUCUCUCAUAUGCAAUGUUAGUGUUUAAUUUUCCUUUGAGAAUUUGCAAAGCUAUUAUUGAUGAGAUUGCAACCUUCUGGUGGGGAGAUGAUGAAGCUAAGAAAAAGAUGCAUUGGAUGGCGUGGUGGAAGAUGUGCAUUCCAAAGGGGAUAGGAGGUAUGGGCUUUAGGGACCUUCAUAGAUUUAAUCUUGCUAUGUUAGCAAAGCAAUGUUGGUGACUAAUCCAGAAUUCAGAAUCUUUUUGUGCCCGCGUUGUCAGUGCAAAAUACUUCCCAGAUGGUGAUAUUCUAAAUGCAUGGUCAAAGGGUUGUUCUUAUUAUAGAUGGCAAAUCUUUGUGCAGGCAUCCAAACCUUUAAACGGGGGUGUAUUUGGAGAGUGGGAACAGGUCGGGAUUAAGAAUUAA
rnacentral:rRNA from 1 species